rnacentral:lncRNA from 1 species
UUUGCACUUAGAACUAGACGGUGGCUGGUGCAGAAAAUGGUGUUUUGCAGUAUAAUUCUUCUUGUUGGUUUUUAGUCUAAAAUUAUAUGUUUAAAUAUACGUAUGUUAAUGAAGACAAAACCUGGCGAGUGAGUGAGGCACGCUUAUAGUUUAUAAGUUGGCUAGUAUUAUAUGCUAGUUAUAUAUCGUAGGCAUUAACACCACUCCCCGACUCGUCUCCUUUUGUAUGCUAGUUAUGGAUUAGAGGUGAGCGACUUUAAAAUUCAUGUUGGAAAUCUAAUUUGAUAUAUAUUAGGAACUGCAUGGAUUUAUAAAGAAUCUCAGCAUAUAUAUAAAGAAUAUAGUGGUGCGGCU